rnacentral:rRNA from 1 species
GACGAACGCUGGCGGCGUGCCUAAUACAUGCAAGUCGAGCGGACAGAAUGGGAGCUUGCUCUUGUUCGGUCAGCGGCGGACGGGGGAGUAACAAGUGGGCAACCUGCCCGCAAGACCGGGAUAACUCCGGGAAACCGGAGCUAAGACCGGAUAACACCGAAGACCGCAUGGUCUUUGGUGGAAAGGCGGCGCAAGCUGCCACUGGCGGAGGGGAGCGCGGCGCUUUAGCUAGUUGGGGAGGGAAAGGGGCACCAAGGGGACGAGUCGUAGCCGGCCUGCGGGGGUGGCCUGCCACCCUGGGCCUUAGACCUGGCCCACACUCCUACGGGCGGCAGCAGUAGGGAAUCUUCCGCAAUGGGCGAAAGCCUGACGGCGCGACGCCGCGUGAGCGGAGAAGGCCGUCGGGUCGUAGAUCUCUGUUGUGUGGGACGAAGGAGCGCCGUUUGAAGAAGGCGGCGCGGUGACGGUACCUCACGAGGAAGCCCCGGCUAACUACGUG